AUUCGAUCUGCAGGCCCACCGGGAUUAUUGUCUGUCUGCUGAGCAGCAAAGGCACAGGAAUGGAAAGAUACUGGUAUUCUGAACUGCUUAGUGAAAGAUGGAAUCUGGACACGUUGGAGAAGCAAAAUAUAGCACUGUGAUUCUCCAAAAGCGAUGCGAAUGUCCCACUGGACAGGAUGAUCCAGAGAAGAUGCAUCCUCUUCUCAGAGGAUGACCAGAAGACAACACUUCACCAGACCCUGCCAGCCUUACUGAGGUUGCCACCCAGUGUUCUGCCUGACUAAGCAAACUAAAUGCACCACCCCCUGCUGAAAAUCAUGGACUGGACCACAGCUUAAACCAACAAAGGCGUAUUCUGAAAUAUCUACAGCAGCAACGGGCAC